rnacentral:rRNA from 1 species
UAACACGUGGGUAACCUGCCCAUAAGACUGGGAUAACUCCGGGAAACCGGGGCUAAUACCGGAUAACAUUUUGAACCGCAUGGUUCGAAAUUGAAAGGCGGCUUCGGCUGUCACUUAUGGAUGGACCCGCGUCGCAUUAGCUAGUUGGUGAGGUAACGGCUCACCAAGGCAACGAUGCGUAGCCGACCUGAGAGGGUGAUCGGCCACACUGGGACUGAGACACGGCCCAGACUCCUACGGGAGGCAGCAGUAGGGAAUCUUCCGCAAUGGACGAAAGUCUGACGGAGCAACGCCGCGUGAGUGAUGAAGGCUUUCGGGUCGUAAAACUCUGUUGUUAGGGAAGAACAAGUGCUAGUUGAAUAAGCUGGCACCUUGACGGUACCUAACCAGAAAGCCACGGCUAACUACGUGCCAGCAGCCGCGGUAAUACGUAGGUGGCAAGCGUUAUCCGGAAUUAUUGGGCGUAAAGCGCGCGCAGGUGGUUUCUUAAGUCUGAUGUGAAAGCCCACGGCUCAACCGUGGAGGGUCAUUGGAAACUGGGAGACUUGAGUGCAGAAGAGGAAAGUGGAAUUCCAUGUGUAGCGGUGAAAUGCGUAGAGAUAUGGAGGAACACCAGUGGGCGAAGGCGACUUUCUGGUCUGUAACUGACACUGAGGCGCGAAAGCGUGGGAGAGCAAACAGGAUUAGAUACCGCUGGGUAGUCCACGCCGUAAACGAUGGAGUGCUAAGUGUUAGAGGGGUUUCCGGCCCUUUAGUG